rnacentral:rRNA from 1 species
UAGGGAAUCUUCCACAAUGGACGCAAGUCUGAUGGAGCAACGCCGCGUGAGUGAAGAAGGUCUUCGGAUCGUAAAACUCUGUUGUUAGAGAAGAACACGAGUGAGAGUAACUGUUCAUACGUUGACGGUAUUUAACCAGAAAGUCACGGCUAACUACGUGCUAG